rnacentral:rRNA from 1 species
GACGAACGCUGGCGGCGUGCUUAACACAUGCAAGUCGAACGGAAAGGCCCUGCUUUUGUGGGGUGCUCGAGUGGCGACCGGGUGAGUAACACGUGAGUAACCUGUCCUUGACUUUGGGAUAACUUCAGGAAACUGGGGCUAAUACCGGAUAGGAGCUCCUGCUGCAUGGUGGGGGUUGGUUAGUUUCGGCGGUUGGGGAUGGACUCGCGGAUUAUCAGCUUGUUGGUGGGGUAGUGGAUUACCAAGGCUUUGACCGGUAGCCGGCCUGAGAGGAUAACCGGCCAAGUUAGGACUGAAAUGCGGCACGGACUGCUACGGGAGGCAACAGUGAGGAGGGUUGCACAAGGGAAGGAAGGCUGAUGCAGCAACGCCGCGUGCGGGAUGACGGGCUGCGGGUUGUAUACCACUUUCGCCUGUCACGAAGCGUGAAUGACGGUAAUGGGUAAAGAAGCACCGGCUAACUACGUG